rfam:Oryza punctata chromosome 3, whole genome shotgun sequence.
GAUAAGUAUAGUUUUACAUUAUUUAUGUUCAACGUUUGAUCAUUCGUGAUCAGUAUUUUCGUUGGUAUUAGAUUAUAAAAUAUAAAUAUCACUCUAUGUGUGACUAAUUUUUUUAUUUUUUUAAUAAAUUUUUCAAAUAAGACGGAUGGUCAAACGUUAGACACGAAUACCCACGGCUGCACUUAUU